rnacentral:rRNA from 1 species
CUCAUGGAGAGUUCGAUCCUGGCUCAGGAUGAACGCUGGCGGCAUGCUAACACAUGCAGUCGGACGGAAGUGUUUCCAGUGCGGACGGUGAGUAACGCGUAAGAACCUGCCCUUGGAGGGAACAACAGCUGGAAACGGCUGCUAAUACCCCGUAGCUGAGGAGCAAAAGGAAUCCGCCGAGGAGGGCUCGCGUCUGAUAGCUAGUUGUGAGUAAUAGCUUACCAAGGCGAUGAUCAGUAGCUGUCCGAGAGGAUAUCACCACACUGGACUAGACACGGCCCAGACUCCUACGGGAGCAGCAGUGGGAAUUUCCGCAAUGGCGAAAGCCUGACGGAGCAAUGCCGGUGAGUAGAAGGCCACGGUCGUGAACUUCUUUCCGGAGAGAAGCAAUGACGGUAUCUGGGGAAUAAGCAUCGGCUAACUCGUGCCAGCACCGGGUAAACGAGGAUGCAAGCGUUAUCCGAAUAUUGGGCGUAAAGGUCUGUAGUGGCUUUUAAGUCCGCCGUCAAUCCAGGCUCAACUCUGGACAGGGUGAAACUACCAAGCUGAGUACGGUAGGCAGAGAAUUCCGGUGGAGCGUGAAAUGCGCAGAAUCGGAAAGAACACCAACGGCGAAAGCACUCUGCUGGCCGACACUGACACUGAGAGACGAAAGCUAGGGAGCGAAUGGAUUAGAUACCCCAUAGUCUAGCCGUAACGAUGGAUACUAGGCCUGUGCGAUCGACCCGUGCAGUGCUGUAGCUAACGCGUAAGUAUCCGCCUGGGAGUACGUUCGCAAGAAUGAAACUCAAAGGAAUGACGGGGGCCCGCACAACGUGGACAUUGGUUUAAUUCGAUGCAAAGCAAGAACCUUACCAGGCUUGACAUGCGCGAAUCUCUUGAAAGAGAGGUGCCUUCGGAACGCGACAAGUGUGCAUGCUGUCGUCACUCGUGCCGUAAGGUGUUGGUUAAGUCCGCAACGAGCGCACCCUCGGUUAUCCCAUCAUGAUUGAACCCUGACAGACUGCCGUGAUAACCGAGAAGUAGUACGUCAAUCAUCAUGCCCUUAUGCCUGGGCACACACGUCUACAAUGCCGGGACAAAGGUCGCGAUCCGCGAGGUGAGCUAACUCCAAAAACCCGUCCUCAUUCGGAUGCAGCUGCAACUCGCUGCAUGAAGCCGGAAUCGUAGUAAUCGCCGGCACCAACGCGUGAAUCCGUUCCCGGCCUUACACACCGCCGUCACACUAGGACUGGCCAUGCCCGAAUCGUUACCUACCGCAAGAGGGAUCCGAACCAGGCUAGUGACUGUAGAAUCUAACAAGUACCGUACUGGAAGGUGCGCUGAUCACCUCCUUU